UAUAAAGUGCCUGAUUAAAGGAUUAUUCUGAUAGAGUAAAUUAAAUAAAUUUAAAAUUUUAUCUUUAUAU
rnacentral:tRNA from 1 species